UUUACGAAACCGUAAUCGAAACCGUAACCGCGACAUUAUUCUCCCAAUUUUUAACCGCCUAUCUCGCCUCGACUAUCAUCGAUUAUCAUCGUCAAACCACCGAAUCACAUUUUCAUUUCAAACUGCCCGUUUUGAAACAUUCUAAACCACUCUAAAGAACUAAAUCAAUUAUCUAAAAUCAAUAUUGGACGCAAAAUGAUUCGACACGUUUCCAAGUCGAGUCGUUCGCUCUCGCGCACAUGGAAAAUCGUCACGGACAAUGCGUUCAAGCUUCGGCGCAUAUCCCCACUCCUCUCCACCGGACACCAACCGUCAUCGGCACUGAAGCGACACUUGGGCUACGUAAGAAAAGGGCACAUCGCCACCACCAUCGCGUCUCCUCGCCCUGAAAGAUCAUCUCACGGCGUCGCGCACAAGCACGCUGCUUCGAGCUCCCGGCGGCGUAUGUAUGAUGUUACGCAAGUGCGACCAGCUUUAUCAGUCCUCUCGUUUGUCGUUAAUUAAAUGUAGGCUUAGUAGAACGCGGAAGGGGCUACAAGUUCGAGGAGAUAAGCCCGCCACGCCUCGUGAAACCGAUUUAAUUGUGCGCCCCGAUGAUAACCCUCGGAGGCAGGGGGGAGGAGACGUUGCUUCGAACAGGAUCUUCACGAUAAAACUGCGUUCAAAAUAUAGCUUCAUAAAUAGAUUCCUAAGCUCUUUAUAAUCUUAUCUUACGAUUAAUUAUGGUAAUCUUAUGAGACUUACCGCCUUAUGAAAGGCGCGGGUCUGAGUCUGGAGUUUCGAGCGAAACAGGCUUGGAGUGCAAAGGGUUGACACUUGGCAUUAGGCGUUCGAAAGAUCUUUCGGAGUGGAAAAUUAUAAGAAGUUUGAAAUAUGGUAUUUUUCGUGGAUGGAAGAAUACCUGUGUGCAAGAAAGAGAAGAAGGAAAAAUGAAUAAAAGCAACUUUUUUAAUCUUAUCUCGAGAAGUUUGCGAAACUUUUUUUUUUUUUUUGCAACUUUGUUGUCGAGAAAAAUGACGCACGAAGAAUGAUAAGGAAACCACGAAAGUAAAAGUGGAAGAUGGAAGAAAGUAACGAGUAAAAGUAAAUUUUGUAGAUUUUUUUUCAAGGAGAAUCUGCUUUUUUUAAAAUACAAGCUUUAUAAACAUAUCCAUCCAGAAGACUAAUCCAUCCAGGAUUUAACGCACAAAUUGAAAAUACUUACGAACAAAAUAUUACCACAAAAGGAGAAAGAAAUAAAUGCAAAAGAGAGAGAAAAGAAAAAAAAACCUUCAAACUCCGCCGAUCCCCUUCAAACUGAGAAACCCACCACCAAAACCGACGCGAAUUUUUCCAGAAAAACGGCCUCUUCUAUCCUUCGAAACAACCUUCUAUAUAAAUAUAUCCAUGACGAUUAAGAUGACUAAUCUCGCGCGUCACCCCUCGACGAUAAAGCAAAAAAUAAAUCUCCCAUAAAAGGAAGAAUGAAGAACCUGCUUAGCUCGACAAUAAAACGACAAGAUAAUUCCCUAUACUGUUCGAAGGCCAAGUUCAUCCAACGGAUUCGCCAACGGAGAAAAACGCAAACGAAUCGUUAUCUCGUGCGAUAAGCAAACUUCUCCCCCUCUCCCUCCCCCUCCAUCGAUCGA